UACGGGGGGGGCGAGCGUUGUCCGAAGUUACUGGGCGUAAAGCGCGCGUAGGCGGGUCAGCAAGUCCGCUGUGAAAGCCCGAGGCUUAACCUCGGCGGGUCGGUGGAUACUGUUGGUCUUGAAGGUGCUAGGGGGAGAUGGAAUUACCGGUGUAGCGGUGAAAUGCGCAGAUAUCAGGAGGAACACCGAUGGCGAAGGCAGGUCUCUGGGCAUUAACUGACGCUGAGGAGCGAAAGCAUGGGGAGCGAACAGG
rnacentral:rRNA from 1 species